rnacentral:rRNA from 1 species
UACGAAGGGGGCUAGCGUUGCUCGGAAUCACUGGGCGUAAAGCGCACGUAGGCGGCUCUUUAAGUCAGAGGUGAAAUCCUGGGGCUCAACCCCAGAACUGCCUUUGAUACUGAGGAGCUUGAGUCCGGGAGAGGUGAGUGGAACUGCGAGUGUAGAGGUGAAAUUCGUAGAUAUUCGCAAGAACACCAGUGGCGAAGGCGGCUCACUGGCCCGGUACUGACGCUGAGGUGCGGAAAGCGUGGGGAGCAAACAGGG